GGGGAAUCUUCCGCAAUGGGCGAAAGCCUGACGCAGCGACGCCGCGUGACUAAUGAAGUCCUUCGGGAUGUAAAGGUCUUUUGCAGGGGAAGAAGGAUGUGACGGUACCCUGCGAAUAAGCUCCGGCUAACUACGUGCCAGCAGCCGCGGUAAUACGUAGGGAGCGAGCGUUGUCCGAAUUUACUGGGCGUAAAGUGCGCGUAGGCGGGCUUUUAAGUUGGGGGUGAAAUUCCGAGGCUCAACCUCGGAACUGCCUCCAAAACUGGGAGCCUUGAGGUUUGGAGAGGGAAGUGGAAUUCCUGGUGUAGCGGUGAAAUGCGUAGAUAUCAGGAGGAACACCUGUGGCGAAGGCGACUACCUGGCCUGUUCUUGACGCUGAGGCGCGAAAGCUAGGGGAGCAAAAGGGAUUAGAUACCCCUGUAGUC
rnacentral:rRNA from 1 species